CUGAAUUGGAGGGGCUGAAGUUAUAGCUCUGUACUGGUCGCUAACUUCAGUUUACGUCGAAACGAAUUGUGAUCUGCAUACUUGCUGACUCUGGUCUCUGCUUGCUACUUCAUUCUGGGAGAUUCCAUCAUGUACUAUAAUGGUCAGACCAUGAUUUGGACAAAGCCCUUUUUUCGUUUGCAAAUUUUGGACUGAUAAUGAUACAACAGAAAAUUGAUCUUUAUCGAUAUUGGAAACAAAAAAAUUAUAACAGUUUUGGGGAGGACUAAGAAUACUGACUUGGACAGGAAUACAGCUUGACAAAAAUAAAAAUUCACAAUUCAAAACCAAAAAACAUUUUUAAUGCAUUGCAAGAAACUUUCUACUCAAUCACACAUUCCAAAAUUAAGGGUUAGUCCUUUGAUUAAACACAAACAUGUAGUUGAUUUGCAAUUGAACAUAAGUUUCUUGCAAUGCCCCAUAAUUAUAUUUUGUUCUCAAGCAACUCUGUUAUGUUAUCUAAUGUGCUGAAGGUUAAGUGCCAUGUAUGUUCACAAUUUUUUUUCCGAAAGGUAUAAUAUAUUUGUCCUUUUAAACGGUAUUUGAAUGUGGUUACGCCUUGUUUUUGUUUUCCACAGUAAUUAUUGCAUAUAUGAACAGAAGUGAAAUAUUUGUUGUGAAGCACUGUAUGAAUGUUGUGUGAUCAUGGAGCUAUGGUGUGAUGGUAUUAUAAUUAA